AUCCAUCGUACACCCGUCACCUCCGACAGACGGGCAUUGACACUGCCAUAGUAACGAACAGGUCGUUUAUAUUCAUACAUUUGCACUUCUAUGAAUAGGGCGUUAAUAUUGGAAUAUGCCUUGCAUUAAGAUAGGUAUUGAUACAUUUGCCUUGUCAUUAAUUGGGCAGUAUACAAAGAUGUGCAUUAAGAUGAAACGAAUUGUUUGUUGGUAUUGAUAUAUUUACACUGUCAUAGAAAUAAGCAGAUCAUACAUUUCCACUGCCAUGAAUAGGGCACUAAUAUUGAAAUACGCCGUGGAUUAAGAUAAAACGAAUGGUUUAUUGGUAUUGAUAUAGUUUCACUGUCAUAGAAAUAAGCAGUUCAUAUUUUUACACAGCCAUGAACAGGGCACUGAUAUUGAAAUACGCCGUGGAUUAAGAUAAAACGAAUGGUUUGUUUGUAUUGAUAUAGUUUCACUGUCAUAUAGAUACAAAUACAUUUGCUUUGCCAGGCCAAUAAUACUAGAUAAUGACUAACAGUCAGAAGAACCGAUUCAUAUAGGCAUUUACCCCAUACCCUACCGAGUCAUAUAGGCAUUUACCCUAUACCCUACCGAGUCAUAUAGGCCUUUACCCUAUACCCUACCGAGUCAUAUAGGCAUUUACCCUAUACCCUACCGGGUCAUAUAGGCAUUUACCCUAUACCCUACCGGGUCAUAUAGGCAUUUACCCUAUACCCUAUCGAGUUAUAUAGGCAUUUACCCUAUACCUUACCGAGUCAUAUAGGCAUUUACCCUAUACCCUACCGAGUCAUAUAGGCAUUUACCCUAUACCCUACCGAGUCAUAUAGGCAUUUACCCUAUACCCUACCGAGUCAUAUAGUUAUUUACCCUUUACCCUACCGGGUCAUAUAGGUAUUUAUCCUAUACCCUACUGAGUCAUAUAGGCAUUUACCCUAUACCCUACUGAGUCUUAUAGGUAUUUACCCUUUACCCUACCGGGUCAUAUAGGUAUUUACUCUAUACCCUACUGAGUCAUAUAGGCAUUUACCCUAUACCCUACUGAGUCAUAUAGGCAUUUACCCUUUACCCUACAGGGUCAUAUAGGUAUUUACCCUAUACCCUACUGAGUCAUAUAGGUAUUUACCCUUUACCCUACAGGGUCAUAUAGGUAUUUACCCUAUACCCUUCUGAGUCAUAUAGGCAUUUACCCUAUACCCUACUGAGUCAUAUAGGCAUUUACCCUUUACCCUACAGGGUCAUAUAGGUAUUUACCCUAUACCCUACCGGGUCAUAUAGGUAUUUACCCUAUACCCUACUGAGUCAUAUAGGUAUUUACCCUAUACCCUACUGAGUCAUAUAGGCAUUUACCCUAUAUCCUACUGAGUCAUAUAGGCAUUUACCCUUUACCCUACAGGGUCAUAUAGGUAUUUACCCUAUACCCUACCGGGUCAUAUAGGUAUUUACCCUAUACCCUACUGAGUCAUAUAGGUAUUUACCCUAUACCCUACCGGGUCAUAUAGGUAUUUACCCUAUACCCUACCGAGUCAUAUAGGCCUUCACCCUAUACCCUACUGAGUCAUAUAGGCAUUUACCCUUUACCCUACCGAGUCAUAUAGGCAUUUACCCUAUACCCUACUGAGUCAUAUAGGUAUUUACCCUAUACCCUACUGAGUCAUAUAGGUAUUUACCCUAUACCCUACUGGGUCAUAUAGGUAUUUACCCUAUACCCUACCGGGUCAUAUAGGCAUUUACCCUAUACCCUACCGGGUCAUAUAGGUAUUUACCCUAUACCCUACUGAGUCAUAUAGGUAUUUACCCUAUACCCUACCGGGUCAUAUAGGUAUUUACCCUAUACCCUACCGAGUCAUAUAGGCCUUCACCCUAUACCCUACUGAGUCAUAUAGGCAUUUACCCUUUACCCUACCGAGUCAUAUAGGCAUUUACCCUAUACCCUACUGAGUCAUAUAGGUAUUUACCCUAUACCCUACUGAGUCAUAUAGGUAUUUACCCUAUACCCUACCGGGUCAUAUAGGUAUUUACCCUAUACCCUACUGAGUCAUAUAGGUAUUUACCCUAUACCCUACAGGGUCAUAUAGGUAUUUACCCUAUACCCUACCGAGUCAUAUAGGUAUUUACCCUAUACCCUACCGGGUCAUAUAGGUAUUUACUCUAUACCCUACUGAGUCAUAUAGGCAUUUACCCUAUACCCUACCGAGUCAUAUAGGUAUUUACCCUAUACCCUACCGAGUCAUAUAGGUAUUUACCCUAUACCCUACCGGGUCAUAUAGGUAUUUACUCUAUACCCUACUGAGUCAUAUAGGUAUUUACCCUUUACCCUACUGAGUCAUAUAGGUAUUUACCCUAUACCCUACUGAGUCAUAUAGGUAUUUACCCUAUACCCUACAGGGUCAUAUAGGUAUUUACCCUAUACCCUACCGGGUCAUAUAGGUAUUUACCCUAUACCCUACUGAGUCAUAUAGGCAUUUACCCUAUACCCUACCGGUGACAUGGAGGGGGUUGGGCACGCCCCUUGAGAAAUCCCCAGAAUUAUCUUGACAUCCUGAAGAUUACCCUGCGAAAAGCAUGAGAUAUAUAUAUUAUGCUCCCGAAAAAGUACCUCCCUAAUAUCACAUGAUUAUCAUAAUUACCACCAGCAUCCUGGUAGAAAAAAUCAGUAA